UAUUAAUAAAAUUGUUUUAUUUAUUUUUAUUUUUAUUAUUUUUAAUUAAAUAAAUUUAGAUUAUUGUAGAAUGAAUUGAUUAAAUUAUUUUUACUAUAGUAAAUUAGUACUGUGAAGGAAAAAUUAGUUAUAUAUUAUAAUUAAUAAAAGGUAAUUUUAUUUAUUGUAUCUUGUGUAUCAGAGUAUAUUUAAAUAGAUUAUAAAGUUUUUUUUCUCGAAUUUAAAGGAUUUAAUUGAAAAUAUUAGUUAUUGUUGCAUAAAUAUUAAUGAUUUUUAAUUGGUAAUGAAAUGUUAUUCGUUUUUAAGGAUAUCUAGUUUUUUAAUAAAUGAAUUUAAUUCAGAAAAUAUAAUUUAUUAAAUAAUUAAUUAUUUGAAUAUUUUAUGUUUUUAAUUUUAAAAGGGAUAAGCUUUUUAAAAAAUAUAAUUAUAAUAUUGUGAGUUGAGAAAGGAUUUUAUAGAUUUAGAAUUUGUUAAUGAUUAAAGGAUGUUAAAAUUUAAUUCUUUAUUUAAAUGAUUUUGGAUUUUUUAUUUAAUUUUUAUAUUAAAAUGUUAAAUUUAAUUGAGAAAUUUUAGAAAAUAUGAUUUAAUUAGUAAAAUUUUAAUUUGUUUUGUUAGGUUGAUUGAUGUGUUAAUAUGAAGAAUUAGGCAAAAAUUUUGCUCACCUGUUUAUUAAAAACAUGGUUUCUUGUAAUAUUAUUUAAGAAAUUUGACCUGCCCACUGAAUAAAUUUUUGAAGGGCCGCAGUAUAUUGACUGUGCAAAGGUAGCAUAAUCAUUAGUCUUUUAAUUGAAGGCUGGUAUGAAUGGUUGGAUGAGGUGAAUUCUGUUUUAUAUUAAUUUGUAUUGAACUUAGAUUUUGAGUAAAAAGACUUAAAUGAUAUUAAGGGACGAGAAGACCCUAUAGAGUUUAAUAAGUGUAUUAGUUAAUUGAGUUAUAAAUAUCGUUUUUGAUUAUUAUGAAAUUUAUUUAAUUGGGGUGAUUGGAAGAUAAGUGUAACUUUUCUUUAUUUUUAAUAUUUUGAUUAAUUAUUUGAUCCAUAUUUAAUGAUUAAAAGAUUAAAUUACCUUAGGGAUAACAGCAUAAUUUUUUUUGAGAGUUCUUAUCGAGAAAGGGGAUUGUGACCUCGAUGUUGGAUUAAGAUUAGUAUUGGGUGUAGAUGUUCAAUAACUAGGUCUGUUCGACCUUAAAAAUCUUACAUGAUCUGAGUUUAAACCGGCGUGAGCCAGGUUGGUUUCUAUCUUUAAUUAAUUUAAAUAUUUUAGUACGAGAGGACCAAAUAUUUGAAAUAAUUUUUAUUUUAUAGAAUAUUAUUAAUUGA
rnacentral:rRNA from 1 species